CCAGACUCCUACGGGAGGCAGCAGUGGGGGAUAUUGGACAAUGGGGGGAACCCUGAUCCAGCGACGCCGCGUGAGUGAAGAAGUAUUUCGGUAUGUAAAGCCCUAUCAGCAGGGAAGAAGAUGACAGUACCUGACUAAGAAGCCCCGGCUAACUACGUGCCAGCAGCCGCGGUAAUACGUAGGGGGCAAGCGUUAUCCGGAUUUACUGGGUGUAAAGGGAGCGUAGGUGGCAUGGCAAGCCAGAAGUGAAAACCCGGGGCUUAACCCCGCGGAUUGCUUUUGGAACUGUCAGGCUGGAGUGCAGGAGGGGCAGGCGGAAUUCCUGGUGUAGCGGUGAAAUGCGUAGAUAUCAGGAGGAACACCGGUGGCGAAGGCGGCCUGCUGGACUGUAACUGACACUGAGGCUCGAAAGCGUGGGGAGCAAACAGGAUUAGAUACCCGGGUA
rnacentral:rRNA from 1 species